rnacentral:rRNA from 1 species
GGAAGGAUCAUUAUUGAAUAACUUGGUGUUGAGCUGGCUAUGCAAGUGCUUGCAUCAUAUUAUUUAUCUAUCUCUUGUGCACCUUUUGUAGUCUUUGAAAGUGUUCGCAGUCAAAUGCGGUUUUUUGGGCCUUGGGCUUUGCUGUCCUUUGCCCUGUUUGCUUUGAAGGCUAUGUUUUAUACACACUGUUUUGAAGUCGUAGAAUGUCUGUUAUUGACUUUUGAGUCAGUAAAUCUAUACAACUUUCAGCAACGGAUCUCUUGGCUCUCCCAUCGAUGAAGAACGCAGCGAAAUGCGAUAAGUAAUGUGAAUUGCAGAAUUCAGUGAAUCAUCGAAUCUUUGAACGCACCUUGCGCCCUUUGGUAUUCCGAAGGGCAUGCCUGUUUGAGUGUCAUUAAAUUCUCAAUCUUGCAGACUUUGUCUGUGAGGCUUGGAUGUGAGGGCUUUGCUGGCUUUCUUUAAAGUCUGCUCCCUUUAAAUUCAUUAGUGGGAUUCCUUUGUGGAUGGUCACUUGGUGUGAUAAUUAUCUACGCCGUCUGACUCUGAAACAAGACUUGUGGGAAAUCUGCUUAUAACCACCAUCUUUUUUUGACAAUUUGACCUCAAAUCAGGUAGGACUACCCGCUGAACUUAAGCAUAUCAAUAAGCGGAGGAAAAGAAACUAACAAGGAUUCCCUUAGUAACUGCGAGUGAAGCGGGAAAAGCUCAAAUUUAAAAUCUGGCGGUUCUGCCGUCCGAGUUGUAA